UUUUUCCCUUAAAAUGAUAUAUUUUCUCCGUUUAAACUUUUGAUAUGUAAUCUAUGUUGCAUAAAAUAUUGAAAUUUGAAUCUUCCACAUUGCAUUCUGUUUUUAUUCACAAUUUGUACAGUGUCCCAACUUUUUUGGGAUCAGGUUUGUAAAAACACCUCUGACCUGUGAAUCAACUGGUUUCAUACAACAGUUUUGAAGGAUUGAUAAAGUGAUUUAGUUGUAAAGCAGUUUUAUCUAGAUAGGAAGGACUGAGGUUCAUAACUGAAUGACUGGAAGAAGCCCUUCACCUUCAAACUGAACACAAACAUGAACCAAAUAGCCAUUCUCAGCUAUAAAACUAUGUGUCCAGAGAGAGAUCAAAUCAUGUUUCUGUAGAAAUCAGACCACAGCAGGUUUCAGUUUGACUCUGAUGAUGAUCUGCUCAUGUCACACACCGCAGUUUAUUUGCAUUAUUUGGGUCAAACCCUGUUGUGGGAGGAUUCAUAAAGCAGAUGAACAGCUCAAGUAUUUUCAGCAGAUGGUUUUAUUACAUCAGUCCCUGAAUUACUGAAGAAAAUGUUUCACAGGAUUGUCUUGUUCUGCUUGUGCUGGUGUCAUCUGAUUGGUAAGUUACAAAAUGUAUUAUUAAAUGUAUAAUUUAGUUUAGUUUCAGGGUAAUCUACCUGAUAGUUAGAGGCUUUGUAUUUGGCUUUUCUACCUAGAUUAAAACGGCUAAUAUAUUGAGGCCUACUCUAGAUUCAGGUCUCUUUUCAGGUCUGCCUCUCAAUGAGCAUUAUUUAAAGUGAAACUACUGGAAAUACCAAUUUCACUCGACUGCAAAAUAAAUGUGAAGUUACAGACACCAUCAAGACUGAAAUAUUAGUUUACACGACAAUCUUUCAUUUGUUGUCAAUGCGUUUUCUUUUGCUUGUCUGUUGCCGUUUGAGAUGUUCCUCAGUUCACAUUCACUUCAGGCUUUGUAAAGCAACAAAAGUGUGAAAUCUGUUCCAUUUUGUUCAUUAGGUGUGUUUGGUGAAUCAGUGUCAGUGAUGGAGGGAGAUUCUGUCACUCUAAACACUGAUCUUACUGAAAUACAUGAAGACGAUAACGUUCUGUGGAAAUUUGGAUCUGAAAAGUCUCUCAUAGCUGAAAUCAGUAUAGAGGACCAAAUCUUCUCCACAUAUGAUGGUCCUGAUGAGAGAUUCAGAGACAGACUGAAUCUGGACAGACAGACUGGAUCUCUGACCAUCACAAACAUCACAACUCAACACGCUGGACUCUAUGAAUUACGGAGAAGUGGAGAUAAAUUGUCAUCAAAAACAUUCAGUGUUUCUGUCUAUACUUGUCUGCCCACUCCUAACAUUAGAAGGGAUUUUUCACAAAAUCUUUCUUCAUCAUCGUCUUCAUCACAGCAGAAUUGUUCAUUGUUGUGUUCAGUGGUGAAUGUGGGUCAUGUGACUCUCUCCUGGUACAAAGGAAACAGUUUAUUGUCCAGCAUCAGUGUGUCUGAUCUCAGCAUCAGUCUCUCUCUACCUCUGGAGGUGGAAUAUCAGGAGAAAAACAGCUACAGCUGUGUGAUCAACAAUCCCAUCACAAACCAGACCACACAUCUGGACAUUACUGAACUCUGUCAAGGCAUGUCAGCAGUGAUGUUAAUUAUUAUUGUCUUGUUAUGUAUUCAGUGUUGUUUGACAUCAGACUGACAGAAUAAUUUUGUUCAUUACAGAUCAAGGUCUACCUUUAUUGUACAUAGUGUUGAUUGCUGCUGCUGGAUCUUUGUUGAUUGUAGCUGCAGUCGUGAUGUGCUGCAUCUGCAGGAAAUGUAGAAAAACAGCUGGCACCUGUAAUGAAGGCAGAACUGAUUCAGUGUUCUGUAAACCAACAACACGAAAAAAGAAAUCAAAGUCGGAGGCUUUGUAUGAAAAUGUGUGCAAAAAACGAUGAUCAAAUUCUCUCUCUAGUUGAACUGAGAGCUGAGUAAUGGACACUGACUAGUGCUUAGUGUCUUUCUGGUAGGCUGUCUCUCUUUUGUUCUCACUGUUUGUAUUAAAUCUUUUGGUGUUCUUGUGAUGUAUAGCCUUUUAUUUUUUAUUUCUUUUCUCAUUUUGUGGUUGCCCGAUAAUUACACCUUCCAGAAACAUAUGGAAUUUGUUCAUGUUUUCAUUUGAGUAAACUGUAUUGAGUAUUACUGUAUCUCCCUCUCUCUCACACACACACUCAGAGUGUGAUGUUCUGAAUAUGUUGUCAAAUGUAGCACAGAUAUAUCAUCUCCCUUUAGUGUCCAAAGCAGAAACUCACAGAUUUAAGACCUCACUGAAGAGCCUGGCUGCUGCUGAGGCCUGUUUGAAGAAGCGUUUAAAACAGCUACAGAUCAUUACAAUAAAUUAUGCCUACAUGUAUUUUCCUCACUUGUCAUCAUGUUGUGCUUGAGUUGUAUGAUUGUGGAUAUUUAAUGAUAAAGACAGACGGACAUGAUUACCAAUAGAUCGACUCAGACAUUUUAUUGAUGUACCUCUUUCUUUAAUUUAAGCUGACAAAUGGCUCCAUCUGGUGGAUAAAUGAGAAAAGCAGCUAAAACAAUAUAUAAUAUUUAUACUAACAAGUUAUUCAUAGCUUAGUUAGUUAUAAUCAAAUACAUUUAUUUAUCUUUUUAAGUUUCCUUUCACAAACUAAAUGAUAUAUGUCUAUUGUAUUAAAUCUUCAGUAUGUAA